rnacentral:rRNA from 1 species
GAGUUUGAUCCUGGCUCAGAUUGAACGCUGGCGGCAGGCCUAACACAUGCAAGUCGAGCGGCAGCGGGAAGGUAGCUUGCUAUCUUUGCCGGCGAGCGGCGGACGGGUGAGUAAUGCCUAGGGAUCUGCCCAGUCGAGGGGGAUAACAGUUGGAAACGACUGCUAAUACCGCAUACGCCCUACGGGGGAAAGGAGGGGACCUUCGGGCCUUCCGCGAUUGGAUGAACCUAGGUGGGAUUAGCUAGUUGGUGAGGUAAUGGCUCACCAAGGCGACGAUCCCUAGCUGUUCUGAGAGGAUGAUCAGCCACACUGGGACUGAGACGCGGCCCAGACUCCUACGGGAGGCAGCAGUGGGGAAUAUUGCACAAUGGGGGAAACCCUGAUGCAGCCAUGCCGCGUGUGUGAAGAAGGCCUUCGGGUUGUAAAGCACUUUCAGUAGGGAGGAAAGGUAGCAGUUUAAUACGCUGUUGCUGUGACGUUACCUACAGAAGAAGGACCGGCUAACUCCGUGCCAGCAGCCGCGGUAAUACGGAGGGUCCGAGCGUUAAUCGGAAUUACUGGGCGUAAGGCGUGCGCAGGCGGUUUGUUAAGCGAGAUGUGAAAGCCCCGGGCUCAACCUGGGAAUUGCAUUUCGAACUGGCGAACUAGAGUCUUGUAGAGGGGGGUAGAAUUCCAGGUGUAGCGGUGAAAUGCGUAGAGAUCUGGAGGAAUACCGGUGGCGAAGGCGGCCCCCUGGACAAAGACUGACGCUCAGGCACGAAAGCGUGGGGAGCAAACAGGAUUAGAUACCCUGGUAGUCCACGCCGUAAACGAUGUCUACUCGGAGUUUGGUGUCUUGAACACUGGGCUCUCAAGCUAACGCAUUAAGUA